AAAUUAACUAAAAUAGAGCCGUUGGUUGCCUCAGUCAUCAGUUAUCUUUUUCAUAUCCGUAAAAUCCCUAAUUAGGUUUCAAUUCCCAUUUUUUUUGCAGCUUCGACCCUUCGCACAAUUGCACAAUCGAUUAGCUCUACAAACAGGACGUAUAACCCUUCUGCGUCAGAACUUACAUUUCCUCUGACUUGUUGGAGUAUUGCUAGAUCAGGGAGAAAGAAACUUCAAUGGAACAAUGGUUAGUGAAAAUUUACUGACAAACAGUAAUACACAACCAAUGGUUUGGGCUGGUGUGAAUCAUAACCGGUCUCUACUUGAUUAGAAACCAAUAGGCAGAGAAGUUGCCAUAAUAAAAAAAUUAGAGAGACCCUAAUUGUUAGAACUAAGAAUGUUUCUUACCAUCUUAUUAGUUACAUUCCAUCAAAGCUAAUAUGUGAAUAACCCUAUCAAUCUUCAAAUCGUUGGUCAGAAAGGAAAGGAGGAAAAUAGAUCAAACAAGUGAUUAACUGUUAGUAGAUUAUCCAGUGUUCAAGUUUUUUCAACUGUAUUGUUUCCUACAAUGAUUAAUAUAUGAUGAUCAGUAUCUGGAUUUGAGAAAAUAAACUAGUGAUCAAUUUGAAUUUGAGAUGGAACUUUUAGCAUUAAUGAGUGUUUAUGGGCCCUUUAUAUAGUUUGGUUGUACUCUGUUGGCAGAGAGUUUUACACUCUAUAGUGUAAUGUACAACUUUUAGUAUCUGUUGGAAGUGUUUAAGCUCUUUUGGUGUACAACUUCUAUUAUUAUCUGAGAACGUUUGAAGUUUUUAUAGUUUUUUUAUGCGAAUUUGAUUACAACUUUUAGAUUUUUAAGUGGUUUGGUGUAUAGCUUUUAGUAUGUGUUGGGAACUUUUAGGCUCUUUAUAUAUACGGUUUGACAUAAACUUUUAGUAUGCACUAAGAGUUUUAUACUCUUAAAUAGUUCGUGUACAACUUUUAGUUCAUCGUAAGAGUUUUCAGAGUUUGAUGUAUAACUUACCGGAGAGUGAUUGACCUCUGUAAUUGACCUCU
rnacentral:sRNA from 1 species